AUUGACAACGCGCCCGAGCGCCGGCGCACCGGCAAGAACAAGGACAAGUAUGAGAUGCUGCCGUACCCCGGCAACACGCUCAUGGAUGAGGCUGACCUGAAGGGCAUGCUGCGUGCCAUGGCGCCCUUCAUCGUGCGCGCAUAGGGUCUUAACUGCCAGGUUGAAGUCGCACACGCGGAAGACCUUGCUGCCAUCAGGCGCGAUGUCGUACAGCAGGUUGGCGGGCUUCAGGUCAAAGUGCAUGUAGCCGCGAGCGUUCAGGUGCUUUGAUGAAGAGCGCCAUGGCACGCAGCAUGCCCUUCAGGUCGGCCUCAUCCAUAAGCGUGUUGCCGGGGUACGGCAGCAUCUCAAACUUGUCCUUGUUCUUGCCGGUGCGCCGGCGCUCGGGCGCGUUGUCAAU
rnacentral:pre_miRNA from 1 species